GUGAGCCACCAUUCUGCGGUUUCCUGGCUGCUGCUGUGCAAGCAGGCGAAGAGGUCAAGUGUGCAUAUCGGCUGUUUGUUCUGUCUUGGGCGGGGAAAAAAGGAAUGAAGGCCAUAGGGAAAUGAUAGCACUUGAGACCUGUAUUCAAAGAGGUGUCCCAGUUCCUCAGGACCAAGAAUGUCGAAGACACUGGUGUAGCAUGCAUGUUCAAGACAUUAAAGGUAACCUCUUGGGCUAGCAGCUUCUUCUGCCACAUACUUCUACCAUGACGUGCUGUCUUGUCACAAGCCCCAAAGCAGGGAGCCAACUUCCAAUGGACCCAAACCUCCAUAACCAGAAACCCAAAUAAAUAUUUCCUCUUUUUAGGGCUGAUUGUCUCAGGUAUUUUGCUCAGAAGCAGAAAACUGACUAACAUAGAUAUUCUAUCUUGAAGCUGCAGAAUGACUGAAUAAGCAGGGUUCAGAACUAACCCAAUGCCUCACCUAUGCUGGGCCAGCACUCCACUUACGAGCUAUGCCAUCAGCCUGGCUUACAUCAUUUUCUCCUGUUAUACAGUCCAGGAUCCCAACCCAGGGAAUGGUGCCACCCACCAUUCCUAUAGGCAUGCCCAGAGGCUCACCUCUCAGAUGACUCUAGAUCUCAUCAAGUGGACAUUAACAAACACAGUAAACAAGCAUUAAAAAAAUCUGAUGAGUAGUUUUAAA